AGCGAACGCUGGCGGCAGGCCUAACGCAUGCAAGUCGAACGGAUCCUUCGGGAUUAGUGGCGGACGGGUGAGUAACACGUGGGAACGUGCCCUUUGGUUCGGAACAACUCAGGGAAACUUGAGUUAAUACCGGAUGUGCCCUUCGGGGGAAAGAUUUAUCGCCAUUGGAGCGGCCCGCGUCUGAUUAGCUAGUUGGGGAGGUAAAGGCUCACCAAGGCGACGAUCAGUAGCUGGUCUGAGAGGAUGAUCAGCCACAUUGGGACUGAGACACGGCCCAAACUCCUACGGGAGGCGGCAGUGGGGAAUCUUGCGCAAUGGGCGAAAGCCUGACGCAGCCAUGCCGCGUGAAUGAUGAAGGUCUUAGGAUUGUAAAAUUCUUUCACCGGGGACGAUAAUGACGGUACCCGGAGAAGAAGCCCCGGCUAACUUCGUGCCAGCAGCCGCCGUAAUAC
rnacentral:rRNA from 1 species